AUUAAUUAUAAUUAUUAAUUCAAUUUCAGAAUUAUUGAUUCAAAAUCAAAUAUAACUAUCAAUUUACCAUUUAUUAAUGAUGGUUAUUAUUAUUAUAAAGUGUUACCAAAAGUCAAGACUGCAACUGAACAGGAGGGAGGUGGUGGACGUGUUCUGGAUGGCGUAGCGCGCUCGCUGUUCUCGUUGUCGUGUACAGUUGAACUCCUGCUGACACAGCGAACACAUCGAAACCAACGACUGUGAGGCCUUGUACAUACGAAGAGUAGGAGGAAGGCUUUUUAAAGUAGUUUUCUAACAUUGUUGAUAAUUCCUGCAAAGCACAGCCAGCUAUGGUCAGAGAACUAAAGCCACUCUUACUGUUUAUUCAUGUUGUGUAGCUACACUUGUUGGAAGAGGAGCAUAAUAGCAGCAGUACGCUUCAGUGAAAACGCUUCCUUCCAGGCGUCGUUGUCUGUAACUUGAAGUUAGAAAAUGUAGUUUCCAUUUCCUAUAAACAUGUGUUGUUCAUGUUUACGUGCCACCGCAGGUGAACGUUGGUUCAUCAUUCACUCAGAAGAAAUUCCUGCUAAAGUAGGUGUUUUUCUACUUUGUGUCCUUGGCUGCUUACUAGGGGUGUCACGAUUUCGAUUCUAAAUCGAUCGAAAUGAACUUCCGAUUUUGACCAUAGAAAUCAAAAGCAGGAUUGGUGAUUGUCCCAGUUUUUUAUUUUCUCCGCCCUCGCCUACUUCAAGCCCCCAGGAACAGCUCUGGUUGUUGAUCCCAGUUUUCCUAGUGGCCAAACGGCGGUACUACAACAUCCGUGUCCGUCACGUGAUGCCAUUGGGCCCAAAAAGACUUUUCCCCAUAGACUUACAUUGGGAAAGAGAUGUCUGUCACUCAGCGGAUACUUUUUUUUUUAAGGUAAAUCAACUUCCCAGUACGAACACUUUAAUAACCCUUAUUUAAAUCAUUAGGUCCUAAAAGUUAUAAAAGCUGAGCUGAACGACAAUCAGGUGAAGAUCUCAAAUUAGAAUAUUGAAUCUGCACAUAUUGAUUCAUCACUUACUUACUAUAUUUUUAAUAAAGGUAAACACUAUUUGGGGAUUGACAACUAAUAGACUAUAAUGAAGGGGAGAACCUCCUGCUAUGUAAGGAAUAAUAAUGUACAGCGAGCCGGUAUAGAUAGAUAUAUAUAUAUAUAUAUAUAUAUAUAUAUGCCUAUACAACCACACUCUGUGGUACUACACACUUAGACUUCUUGUUAUUCCUCAUCCCACAUUAGAUCAGUUUCUUUGAUUAUCGAUGUGAAAAUGUGUUUACCUGAGGACUGAUUGACUGUUCGGUAGACUGUAGCUAAGUUUUUUAUUCUGCUGCUGUCUGUGUGAGUUCCUGCCUUAACAUUUACAAUCACUACUAGACGGAUUGCGGUUCUGACUCGACACUACGACUGUUAGAGAUGGAGAAAGGAGACUUCCAUGACGCUUCUCAUCUCACACAUCUGAAAAGGUCUUUGUAUGUACAAGUGGAUCUUAUUUUGGCUAAAACGUUGACGGCUCUCAUUCACAUUCCUGUCGAGACCACUUCAGAUUGCCUCAAAGUCGGCGCUCUUCUCACCUCAGUUUACCAGAGCUUCCCAAAGCUUUCAGUUGAUUUCUUCAUUAAUCGCCAAUGAGCAGCUCCAGUGCUGCUGUUCAGGGUUCAGUGCCUUGCUUUGCAGCAUCUUGACAUUUUGGGUGAUUGUCCGGUUAAGUGAGUAGUUCUUAGGACUUGCAUCUACUGACCAACCAGCCUGCGCUAUAAAAUGUGACAAAAAAACUGUUAUGAUUUUCAUUGUCUCGCCUCUUUUUGUUUAAAAGCUGAUUUUGUUGCAGUGUAGACAACAUAAUUUGUCAAACAUCGGAUUGCAACAAGCGUUCCUGCACCAUCUUGUUUUUGUAAAUUUCACUGGUAUUGUAAAAAAAA